GCUCCCAUGGCGUAGUGGUCACUGCGCUCGCCUUGCACGUGAGAGACCCGGGUUCGAUUUCCGUCGGGAUCA
rnacentral:tRNA from 1 species